AUGCAAGUCGAACGGCAGCACGGGGGCAACCCUGGUGGCGAGUGGCGAACGGGUGAGUAAUACAUCGGAACGUGUCCUGUAGUGGGGGAUAGCCCGGCGAAAGCCGGAUUAAUACCGCAUACGCUCUACGGAGGAAAGGGGGGGAUCUUAGGACCUCCCGCUACAGGGGCGGCCGAUGGCAGAUUAGCUAGUUGGUGGGGUAAAGGCCUACCAAGGCGACGAUCUGUAGCUGGUCUGAGAGGACGACCAGCCACACUGGGACUGAGACACGGCCCAGACUCC
rnacentral:rRNA from 1 species